GAUGAACGCUGGCGGCGUGCCUAAUACAUGCAAGUCGAGCGAACGGACGAUAAGCUCGCGUCUCUGAUGUUAGCGGCGGACGGGUGAGUAAGACGUGGAUAACCUACCUAUAAGACUGGGAUAACUUCGGGAAACAGGAGAUAAUACUGGAUAAUAUUUUGAACCGGAUGGUUCAAAAGUGAAAGACGGUCUUGCCGUCACUUAUAGAUGGAUCCGCGCUGCAUUAGCUAGUUGGUAAGGUAACGGCUUACCAAGGCAACGAUGCAUAGCCGACCUGAGAGGGUGAUCGGCCACACUGGAACUGAGACACGGUCCAGACUCCUACGGGAGGCAGCAGUAGGGAAUCUUCCGCAAUGGGCGAAAGCCUGACGGAGCAACGCCGCGUGAGUGAUGAAGGUCUUCGGAUCGUAAAACUCUGUUAUUAGGGAAGAACAUAUGUGUAUGUAACUGUGGACGUCUUGACGGUACCUAAUCAGAAAGCCACGGCUAACUACGUG
rnacentral:rRNA from 1 species